GCCAGGCUCCAGGUGCAGGGCAGCCAGGGCAUUGUACUUAAGGCCAGAGCAAGAGACGAGGGGGUUCCAGGAGCCCCUCCAUCAGCUCAGCCCUGGGCUUCCUGAGGGAAUAUUGACCAGAGUCCUGUAUGGAACAGGAUGCCUACGUCCUGGGCCCGGAGGGAACAGUGCCCACACCAUCUGUGUGAAAUGGCUAGGGAUGUGGCUCAGGGGUUAAGUGCCCUGGGUUCAAUCUCUGGUACCAAAAAAACAAAAAAAACAAAACAAAACAAAAACAAACAAACAAAGUUUUUAUUUUGAGACAGGGUUUCACUAAGUUGCUGAGAGCCUCAUUAAGUUGCUGAGGCUGGCCUCAAACUUAUGAUCCUCCUGCCUCAGCCUCCCGAGUCACUGGGAUUACAGGCAUGUUCCACAAUGCCCAGCCGUAGAGCAUAUCUUACUUAUUAAAGGUGUUUGUAAAACACGGUGGCUGAAGAGCAUGGGAACAGCCUCCACUUUCUUAAUGAGUGUCCCCACCUUGUGCUGGGGUGGGGGGCCACCCUCUUUGUCACUUGCCAGCUGUUGCCCUUGGGGAAGUGCCAACAGAGACGGGUUGGAGUCCAGCCCCUCUGCCCUGCCCAGGCCUCAGGGACGGACACUGGGAAAUGAAAGCACUUUCACCUGGACACUUUGACAGUGGUGAGGGUCAGAAGGCCCAAGUCAUCUAAAGAAAAAAAAAAUGUUUGAAAACGAGGGGGAAGGGGUCUGCUCGUGCUGUUGGGGAGCCCAUGGCUGAGGGCCUGGCUGCAACCAGGGGCUUGAAGGAGCCAUUGGGCCACCAUCUCUGCUUCGCCCUCUGUUAUGCCACGGGUCUCUCCUGCUGCUGACAGACUCUCCCGGUGGCCAGACCUGUGGUCCUGGCGGGCAGGGACUCCCUCCAGCUCAUCACCCCUGCCAGUCCCAGCAGAAAUCCUUGGAGAAAGCUGGGCAUGGUGGUGCACACCUGUGAUCCCACUGACUCUGGAGGCUAAGGCAGGAGGAUGAGAGCAAAUUCAAGGCCAGCCUCAGCAAUUUAGUGAGACCAUAUUUUAAAAUAAAAAUUAAAAAGGACCAGGGGUGUUCCUCAUUGGUAGAGUGCCCCUGAGUUCAAUAAUCCCCAGUACCACUGGGGGUGGGAGUGGGGGACAGAAGUCCCAGAGUCUGGUUUCUGGCCAGGUCUGCCCUCAACCACUCACUGUGCCAGGAGGGAAGAAUUAUGUCUGUCUGGCUUGG
rnacentral:lncRNA from 1 species